rnacentral:lncRNA from 10 species
GAUAAUUAGAAGUUUCCUUCUUAUAUUCUUUAAGUAUAGUCUUUAAUAUUCUUAAAUAUAUUCUUUAACAUACAAAUCCUUAAAACCCAAUAAUAAUUGUAAAAAUUACUAAAUAACAGUAAAGAGUAGCGUCUUGGAGGGGACGUGUCUUCUGGCAUCUACCACCUCACAACCACUCCAGUGUUCUCUAUUGAUGAAGCUUAGCAUUCAUCUAGCUGGCAAAGGAAGAAUGUUUACAGGAUCCUGAUUCAGUAUCAUAAAGCUAUAUUUGCACCCAAGGAACAAUAAACUGAAAAAUAGUAAAGCAUAAAAUUUCAAAUUUCUCAUUUGUUAUCAUUCUAAAAGUUGUUGUUCCUUUGGACACUGAAUCUUGGUAAAAUUCGGAUGAGUAGGAGACAUGGCUUUCUUUUGAAAAUAACAUUUUUGAAAGUGGGGGCAUGUAGAGGUUCUGAGAAAGAUGAGCUUAGAGUUGUCCCACUGGGUUUACCACCCCACUGGUGGUCACUUCCCUAAUGUCCAAAUGUAUAGUAAGCAUUGAGAUACUAGCAGGUUGGAUUUGUUAUUUCGGUAGUAGCAUCCUCAGACUUGGUUAGAGGGAGUCUCGUUGUGCUGGGCCCAUGUGUAUCCUUCACCUAUUGCCACUCUAUUCAUACUCCC